ACACGCAUGACACACUGCAUAUCAAUAAGCGGAGGAAAAGAAACUAACAAGGAUUCCCCUAGUAACGGCGAGUGAAGCGGGAAGAGCUCAAAUUUGAAAUCUUAAAGGGUUUCCCUUUACGAAUUGUAGUUUAAAGAAGUGUUUUCUGUUGGAGUUUCGGUAAAAGUUCUUUGGAAUAGGACAUCAUAGAGGGUGAGAAUCCCGUAUUUGACCAGUUACUUUCCAGCUGUGUGAUACACUUUCAAAGAGUCGGAUUGUUUGGGAAUGCAGUCCAAAAUGGGUGGUAAAUUUCAUCUAAAGCUAAAUAUUGGCGAGAGACCGAUAGCGAACAAGUACCGUGAGGGAAAGAUGAAAAGAACUUUGAAAAGAGAGUUAAACAGUACGUGAAAUUGUCAAAAGGGAAGCGUUUGACACCAGUGUUGUUUAGUUGAAAAUCAAUUCAAUAAUUUUUGAUUUUAAGUAGUAUUGACUUCAUCAGCUUGCUGCUUUCUUUUCAGAAAUUAUUGAAUGCACUUUUCAGUUAACAAGUCAACAUCAAUUUCUUUUGUUGUAAAAGGGUAAGAGGAAGGUGGCUUACGCUUCGGCGUAAGUGUUUAUAGCCUUUUACCUCUGCAAUCGGAGAGAUUGAGGUCUGCAGCGUAGAUCCUUCGGGGUUAGAUACACUUUGUGCUAAGUUAUAGCUUGUCAUAGACAACUUGUUGACUAUGUUCAGUCAUUGUAGCUUACUCGCUGACUGCUAUUUUACCUACGCUUAGGAUGUUGAAGAUGUAGCACAUCAU
rnacentral:rRNA from 1 species